GGUGAACUGCUAACAACCAGCUCUCCAGAGGGAAUGGCCCUGAUCUGCAUCAUCAGCUGGAUUCUGACUCCUACUGCGGCUGACUGCAAAUCACCAAGCAGAGGAUGAUGAAGUUGGGAGGAGACGUACCCAAGCCAAAUGCGAGCUAGUUCCAGUCUACAGUGAUUCAGUAUUCCUACCAAGGUCCCAUGGCAUGCCAGUGCUGUUGGUUCAAGGACUCGGUCUGGAACUUUGAGUGGCAAAGUCCCUCAGUAUGGCUGGGAAGGAAGAGUAUGGCUUGAGCAAGAGAUAAAGUUUGAAAGCCAUGAAAGUGGAGAAUUAGGCCAUAGAAGUGGAGAAUUUGAAGCAAGCAAAGAUGAAGACUUCUAAAACUAUAGAUCCAUAAUAUAGUUUAUGACAUGAACUUGGCAUUUAGAACACAGACAACGUAACUGAAG